rnacentral:lncRNA from 1 species
GGUAAUCCAGCUUUGUAACUUGACCUUUGAUUAAUUUGUAUAGAAUCCAUCUUUAUGUGAUUUGGUCUUCUUUGAGGUGCAGUGUUCAUCAAAAAACUUUUCCAGUGUCUGUUUGUUUCCUUUUCCGUUUCCUAGCAGGGAAAUUUUUUUGGCAACCAUAUCAUCUUGUUCAGUGAUUGAUCUCAAACAACUGCUAUCGAAACUUGUUAGAUAUAUGAACGAAGUUCAUGAUCCAAAGUUUGUUAUAUUUGGAAAUCAAAGAGCGUUGUAAAAAGGGUUUUAAGAGUAACAUGUGUAGCAGAAAGAUUGAUCUUCAGAAGAAAAAACAGAUAGUUUUCUUAAUUGAAAUGAAAAAAUGAAUAGAUGUGUGGGGGAUUCAAUCCAUAUGCAACUUCAUGGCAGUGUCUUGAUCAUGAUUAAUAUAAAUUAUUUUGAUUCUUCAUCUUUGUGUCUAUAUAUUAUUCAUAGUUUCAAUUAGUAUUUCAGUAAUCAUCUGGUAGUUUGAUGGUUUAAUCCCACAGGUUGUAUCUGCGACACCAGCACUUUCAGAGGAGAAAACUGAAGAAUCAGUUAAGGCAGAAGAGACUCCUGUGGAAGAGGUGGCGGCCGCACCACCUACACCAGAGCCUGUUGCUGAGGAGCCAAAGGAAGCAGAAACUGCAGCUGUGCCCGAGGAAUCUGCGGCUCCAGAAGCUGAAGCCCCUGCUGAUCAGGAUGAGACCAAGGAGGUGGUAGAACAAGUUGAGGUUGAGACCAAGGAGGUGGUGGAAAAAACUGAUCAGGCUGUGGUGGAAGAACCAGCGGUAGAGAAGACAGAAGAGGUCCCAGAGGAGACUCCUGAUCAGGAAACAAACAGCCCAGUUGUGGAGGAAACCAAAGAAGCUACAGAACCAGCUGAGGAACCAGCACCAAAACCAGAACCAGCACCUGCAGAUGAAGCUCCAAAAGAAGAAGGUCCUGCUGCAGAAGAAGAAGAGAAACCAGCUGAAGCUAAAGUGAAAGUUGAGACAGAUGAGAAGGCUGAGUGAUGAGUCUAUGAGUGUAUGGCCGAGUGAAAUUAAAAGUUUGUGUGAUGAGGGGUCUGCUAGGUUGCAUGUCUAGUUAAAGGAGUAUUAAUUUUCUUAGUAUAAU